rnacentral:rRNA from 1 species
UACGAAGGGGCUAGCGUUGCUCGGAUUUACUGGGCGUAAAGGGCGCGUAGGCGGACAGUUAAGUUGGGGUGAAAGCCCGGGGCUCAACCUCGGAAUUGCCUUCAAUACUGGCUGUCUUGAGUGUGAGAGAGGUGUGUGGAACUCCGAGUGUAGAGGUGAAAUUCGUAGAUAUUCGGAAGAACACCAGUGGCGAAGGCGACACACUGGCUCACUACUGACGCUGAGGCGCGAAAGCGUGGGGAGCGAACAGG